UACGAAGGGUGCAAGCGUUACUCGGAAUUACUGGGCGUAAAGCGUGCGUAGGUGGUUUGUUAAGUCUGAUGUGAAAGCCCUGGGCUCAACCUGGGAAUUGCACUGGAUACUGGCAGGCUAGAGUGCGGUAGAGGAGAUUGGAAUUUACGGUGUAGCAGUGAAAUGCGUAGAUAUCGUAAGGAACACCAGUGGCGAAGGCGGCUCACUGGCUCGUAUCUGACGCUCAGGCGCGAUAGCGUGGGGAUCAAACAGG
rnacentral:rRNA from 1 species